rnacentral:misc_RNA from 1 species
GAAGUGCGAAAAGUGUCAUGACUUGCAGAUUCCCGAGAGCUGACAAAUCUCUGAAUGCAAAUGGCGGCCGGACAAGACCGGUCAUGCAUCGUAGAGUGUAGAUGCUCCAGCACAUCAUCACGCAUCAAAUUCUUUUGAUUGCGUGGAUCUGCGCUAGUGGUUCUACCGCGAGCGUGAAAUGCAGAGGAGAGUGUGUUUGCCUGGAAGCCUGGUGAUUUCGGUCACACAGUUCCACGGUCGCACGCUUGGAUAUGAUCUUUUUUAUAUCUGGGAAUGUGUUACUGUGGGCCUGGGGUUCUCUAAUGCUCACCUCUUCCAACCUUACUAUAGAUUCCAUGUCUCACGACGUGGGAGAUAUAUUAAACUAUAUCUAUGAGCCACCUCUGCGAUGCAGGAUAAC